rnacentral:rRNA from 1 species
GGUUGAUCCUGCCGGAGGCCGCUGCUAUCCGGCUGGGACUAAGCCAUGCUAGUCUAGGGGCUUGUACUCCUUCGGGGGUGCAAGCACCGGCGGACGGCUCAGUAACACGUGGACAACCUGCCCUCGGGUGGGGGAUAACCCCGGGAAACUGGGGCUAAUCCCCCAUAGGUGAUGGGUGCUGGAAUGCCCCAUCUCCGAAAGCGCUUAGCGCCCGAGGAUGGGUCUGCGGCGGAUUAGGUAGUUGGUGGGGUAACGGCCCACCAAGCCUAAGAUCCGUACGGGCUGUGGGAGCAGGAGCCCGGAGAUGGACCCUGAGACAAGGGUCCAGGCCCUACGGGGCGCAGCAGGCGCGAAACCUCCGCAAUGCGGGAAACCGCGACGGGGUUAGCCGGAGUGCCCGUGAAUU